rnacentral:rRNA from 1 species
AUUGAACGCUGGCGGCAGGCCUAACACAUGCAAGUCGAGCGGAGCGGCGGACGGGUGAGUAAUGCCUAGGAAUCUGCCUGGUAGUGGGGGAUAACGUCCGGAAACGGGCGCUAAUACCGCAUACUAUCAGAUGAGCCUAGGUCGGAUUAGCUAGUUGGUGGGGUAAAGGCCUACCAAGGCGACGAUCAGUAACUGGUCUGAGAGGAUGACCAGCCACACUGGAACGUAGACACGGUCCAGACUCCUACGGGAGGUAGCAGUGGGGAAUAUUGCACAGUGGGCGCAAGCCUGAGGAAGCCAUGCCGCGUGUGUGAAGAAGGCCUUCGGGUGGUAAAGCACUUUCAGCGGGGAGGCGUUACCCGCAGAAGAAGCACCGGCUAACUCCGUGCCAGCAGCCGCGGUAAUAC